GGAAGUAAAAGUCGUAACAAGGUUUCCGUAGGUGAACUGCGGAAGGAUCUUACUAGAGAAAGGAUAGCAGCGCCACCGAAGCUUGCUUAGUGGGGUGUCGGACCGUCGACCCUCUCGGAGAAGGUCGGUCCUGAACUCCACCCUUGAAUAAAUUACCUUUGUUGCUUUGGCGGGCCGCCUCGCGCCAGCGGCUUCGGCUGUUGAGUGCCCGCCAGAGGACCACAACUCUUGUUUUUAGUGAUGUCUGAGUACUAUAUAAUAGUUAAAACUUUCAACAACGGAUCUCUUGGUUCUGGCAUCGAUGAAGAACGCAGCGAAAUGCGAUAAGUAAUGUGAAUUGCAGAAUUCAGUGAAUCAUCGAAUCUUUGAACGCACAUUGCGCCCUCUGGUAUUCCGGGGGGCAUGCCUGUUCGAGCGUCAUUAUAACCACUCAAGCUCUCGCUUGGUAUUGGGGUUCGCGGUUCCGCAGGCCCCUAAAAUCAGUGGCGGUGCUGUCGGCUCUACGCGUAGUAAUACUCCUCGCGUCUGGGUCCGGUAGUCUACUUGCCAGCAACCCCCAAUUUUUACAGGUUGACCUCGGAUCAGGUAGGGAUACCCGCUGAACUUAAGCAUAUCAAUAAGCGGAGGA
rnacentral:rRNA from 1 species